CCCAGUUGGAGGGGAAGUGACUCUGCGCCAAGCCGGGCCCCAGCCCUCCCCAGCACAGAUGGUGCAAUUAGAACAUUGGACAGAUUCUCUGCAGAAGAUGAUGCCACUUGAGGAAAGGAAACGGCUCCGUGGGGGUCUUCUCUCUAUUUUAAAAGCAGCCGACAGUGUGUAAUUCCUUCAAGUAAAUUGUAUAUUUAAGUGCUCGGGGUGGAGAUGCAGCCGCGGCACUUGCUUCUAUGUGGAAAUUAGGAAGAUGCUGGGCCCUUGUUUCUGGAGCGCCUGCUGGGGGCAGGAGGGAGGGGGUGAGGGCUCCGCCCAGGCUCCGAGAAGGUGGCGGCAGAUGGCAGCCCCCCUUGUCUUCCAAGGCAGGAUGGUGUCCACCCCUUGCCCUCCCCUGACGUGGCCGUGCCUGACCCCAAAGUCAAGGUCAGGGAGGAAGGCUCAAGGGUGUGUGUUUCACACCCUACCCCCCCCACCCCCGGGCAGGGGACGGUCUCCUCCCGGCUCAGGCCUCCCCUUACUGCCCUGCAUCUGCAGGGAACAGCAGGAUUGCCAAGUGUUUGUGGAACUCCAAGAGGGCAGGGGCCCCAUCUGGCUUAUUCAUGAGGUAUACAGCAGGUGCUCAGGAAAUAAUGAGUUGACUGAAUACAGCAGGAGAAGAGGAGCAGCAAGGACUCACGGACUCAGGCGGAGAUUCCAGCUGCGGGGCCUCUCUGGGACCUGCUCUGUGAAAGCUCUGGUCCCUGUUCCUUCGUUCCGUUGUGUGUGGAAUGGAGGAAUAACGCUUACCUGGGGGGUCAUGAAAGAGAUGCGCGCAGGUGGUGCCUGUGGACUGCUGGGCCAGCCCCUGGCACACAAGAGGUGUUCAGGAGAGUGGGCCCUGUGUCCCUCUAUCGUCUCAGCCCUGCUUCCCCCAUAUGGCCUCUGGGUCAGGGAGGGGGGUGGGCCACAUUCUGGGCCUUGGGGACCACGGGGUGGGGUCAUUAGUUCUCCCUCUAUGAACGGGUCCCUUUCCCUGCACCCUGCAGCCCCCAACUCCCACCCCAGGUCCAGACUCCGCCUGCAGCUGGAGGAGGCCCAGGCCCCACCUUCCUCACCUGCUGUCAGCUUUGACAAGGGGGGAGUCGGGCUUGUCUCAAGGGCAGGGAUGGAGGUGAGAAGCUUGGAGACCUCCCCUCCCUUGUCCCUUUCAAGGGUGCAAAUACGUCACUCUGUUCCCGAGCCUGAGAUAGACGGGUGGGAGGAAAACUCCAGGGAAGCUAGUUGGCUGGCUGCUGUCACCUGUAUGUGUGCGCGCGUGCUCGUGUGUGUGUGUGUGUGUCUGAUGGUGCCCUUCUCUGGGCCUGUGUCUGACUCCGUGUCUCUCAGGGUGUCUGAGGACGUUUGUCCCUGUCUUCCUGUGUGCCCCCACCCCAUGUCUGGACGUAUGUGCGUGCACACGGAAGGGCUAUUGGCUGCCUCAGAGGCGAGCCCUCGGCCCAGCACCUGUCUGCC
rnacentral:lncRNA from 1 species